rnacentral:rRNA from 1 species
AACGAACGCUGGCGGCAGGCUUAACACAUGCAAGUCGAACGGGUGUAGCAAUACAUCAGUGGCAGACGGGUGAGUAACACGUGGGAACCUUCCUAGGGGUACGGAACAACCCAGGGAAACUUGAGCUAAUACCGUAUACGUCCGUGAGGAGAAAGAUUUAUCGCCCUUAGACGGGCCCGCGUCGGAUGAGCGAGUUGGUGGGGUAUCGGCCUACCAAGGCGACGAUCCGUAGCUGAUCUUAGAGGAUGAUCAGCCACACUGGGACUGAGACACGGCCCAGACUCCUCCGCGAGGCAGCAGUGGGGAAUCUUGGACAAUGGGCGCAAGCCUGAUCCAGCCAUGCCGCGUGAGUGAAGAAGGUCUUCGGAUUGUAAAGCUCUUUUGCCAGGGACGAUAAUGACGGUACCUGGAGAAUAAGCCCCGGCGAACUUCGUGCCAGCCGCCGCCGUAA